UACAGAGGGGGCAAGCGUUGUUCGGAAUUACUGGGCGUAAAGGGCGCGUAGGCGGCCUGCUAAGUCGAACGUGAAAUCCCUGGGCUCAACCCAGGAACUGCGUCUGAUACUGGAUGGCUUGAGUUCGGGAGAGGGAUGCGGAAUUCCAGGUGUAGCGGUGAAAUGCGUAGAUAUCUGGAGGAACACCGGUGGCGAAAGCGGCGUACUGGGUCUUAUCUGACGCUGAGGCACGAAAGCUAGGGAGCGAACGGG
rnacentral:rRNA from 1 species